UUCCGGUUGAUCCCGCCGGACCUGACUGCUAUCGGAUUGAUACUAAGCCAUGCGAGUCUUUGCAGUAAUGCAAGGCAUACGGCUCAGUAACACGUAGUCAACUUACCCUAUGGACGAGGAUAAUCUCGGGAAACUGAGCAUAAUACUCGAUAGAUCAUAAUGCCUGGAAUGGUUUAUGGUUAAAAUGAUUCGUCGCCAUAGGAUGGGACUGCGGCCUAUCAGCUUGUUGGUGAGGUAAUGGCCCACCAAGGCGAUUACAGGUACGGGCUCUGAGAGGAGAAGCCCGGAGAUGGGUACUGAGACAAGGACCCAGGCCCUAUGGGGCGCAGCAGGCGAGAAAACUUUGCAAUGUGCGAAAGCACGACAAGGUUAAUCCGAGUGAUUUCUGCUAAAGAAAUCUUUUGCAAGUCAUAAAACCACUAGUGAAUAAGGGGUGGGCAAGUUCUGGUGUCAGUCGCCGCGGUAAAACCAGCACCUCAAGUGGUCAGGAGGAUUAUUGGGCCUAAAGCAUCCGUAGCCGGCUCUGUAAGUUUUCGGUUAAAUCCAUGUGCUCAACGCAUGGGCUGCCGAAAAUACUGCAUAGCUAGGGAGUGGGAGAGGUAGACGGUACUCGGUAGGAAGGGGUAAAAUCCUUUGAUCUAUCGAUGACCACCUGUGGCGAAGGCGGUCUACCAGAACACGUUCGACGGUGAGGGAUGAAAGCUGGGGGAGCAAACCGGAUUAGAUACCCGGGUAGUCCCAGCUGUAAACGAUGCAGACUCGAUGAUGCAUUGGCAUAUAGCCAGUGCAGUGUCGCAGGGAAGCCGUUAAGUCUGCCGCCUGGGAAGUACGUACGCAAGUAUGAAACUUAAAGGAAUUGGCGGGGGAGCACCACAAGGGGUGAAGCCUGCGGUUCAAUUGGAGUCAACGCCGGG
rnacentral:rRNA from 1 species